rnacentral:misc_RNA from 1 species
CCAAGCUUAUGUAUCUAUUUUUGAAGUGUUUGGAUCAUCAUGUCCAAUGUCAAAGAUCUCCAGGGAAAAAAGAAGAAAUCUUAAGUUCAAAUGAGCACCAGGGAUAGAAUGAAAAUUGAAAUCAAGGCUCCAGAUAUCGUCUGCAGGGUGUUUCUGUGCUCGCCACCAUGGGAAGUGAUUCUCAAAUUUUUGUUGCCUGUCCAGCUGAGGCUUAUAUUUUUAUUCAUAAGAGACCU